CCCCUAGACGUUCUGGGCUGCACGCGCGCUACAAUAAUACGCACAGCGAGUAUCACCGAGCUCGAAAGGGCAAGGUAAACAAUAGAAAAGGUACUGUAAUGGUUAUAGAUCCUUGUAAUUACUGAUCUUCAACGAGGAAUUCCUAGUAAGUAUGUGUCAUCAUCACGCACUGAUUACGUCCCUGCCCUUUGUACACACCGCCCGUCGCUCCUACCGAUUGGGUGAGCCGAUGAAACUCUCGGAUGUAGGCUAUUCAUAGCCCGCAGAAGAGAUUUGAAUCGUAGCGCUUAGAGGAAGGAGAAGUCGUAACA
rnacentral:rRNA from 1 species